CCAGAAGACUCGCAACCUCUACUUAUACAAUGGAUUGACUUUGUUUGUCGGAUGGCUGGCCCUUAUCGUCAUGUCAAUCGAACUCUAAUUGAGGGAAUGCCAGCAAAGGAGAUGUUUCACAAGCACCGACAAAACAUGGAGAUUAUGAUUUGGAAGUAGUCGGGGGUCUGGUCAUGGUACGUCGACAGCAAGAAGACGGAUAUUCUUUUUCUGUAAAACAUGACCCUUUGAUUGAUUUGGGUUCACUACUAAACUUUCUAAUGCUUCCUCAUACGACUACCACCUCUGAUUAAUCUCCUUUGGAUUCAGUUAUGUACUUUUGUUUGUUUCCAACUAUUUUUCACUCGGGUUUUUGUGGGUGUUGGUAGCUGGAAUGCAGAGCAUGAAGUGGUGUAAGGUGGUGUUGAUGUGGGACAUUGCAGCCGCUCCCAGAUCAAUUCAAUGUCCAUUUGAAUAUUUUAGUUCCUUUAUGCCUUUGAUUAUAUAUUUUACUGAAUAAUGGGGUUAUACUUGUGGAGAGUACCUGUUUAUAUUUCUUAUGACUAUUCACCUACAA